rnacentral:rRNA from 1 species
GAUGAACGCUAGCGGCAGGCCUAAUACAUGCAAGUCGAGGGGCAGCGCGGUAGCAAUACUGGCGGCGACCGGCGCACGGGUGCGUAACACGUAUGCAACCUACCUUCAACUGGAGGAUAGCCCGGGGAAACUCGGAUUAAUACUCCAUAACACAGGGAUCCCGCAUGGGAAUAUUGUUAAAGCUACGGCGGUUGAAGAUGGGCAUGCGUUCGAUUAGCUAGUUGGUGUAGGUAACGGCUCACCAAGGCUACGAUCGAUAGGGGGUCUGAGAGGAUGAUCCCCCACACUGGUACUGAGAUACGGACCAGACUCCUACGGGAGGCAGCAGUAGGGAAUAUUGGUCAAUGGAGGUAACUCUGAACCAGCCAUGCCGCGUGCAGGAAGACGGCCCUCUGGGUUGUAAACUGCUUUUAUCGGGAAUAACCUGCUUACGUGUAAUGAGUUGACGGUACCGUGAGAAUAAGGAUCGGCUAACUUCGUGCCAGCAG